rnacentral:rRNA from 1 species
CAGUAGCCACGGUAAUACAGAGGGUGCAAGCGUUAAUCGGAAUUACUGGGCGUAAAGCGCGCGUAGGUGGUUUGUUAAGUUGGAUGUGAAAUCCCCGGGCUCAACCUGGGAACUGCAUCCAAAACUGGCAAGCUAGAGUAUGGUAGAGGGUGGUGGAAUUUCCUGUGUAGCGGUGAAAUGCGUAGAUAUAGGAAGGAACACCAGUGGCGAAGGCGACCACCUGGACUGAUACUGACACUGAGGUGCGAAAGCGUGGGGAGCAAACAGGAUUAGAUACCCCGGUAGUCCCUGUCUCUUAUAA